GUGAGGAAUAUUGGUCAAUGGGCGGGAGCCUGAACCAGCCAAGUAGCGUGAAGGAAGAAGGAUCUAUGGUUCGUAAACUUCUUUUGCAGGGGAAUAAAGUGCGGGACGUGUCCUGUUUUGUAUGUACCCUGAGAAUAAGGAUCGGCUAACUCCGUGUCAGCAGCCGCGGUAAUACGGAGGAUCCGCGCGUUAUCCGGCUUUAUUGGGUUUAAAGGGUGCGUAGGUGGUUUGAUAAGUCAGCGGUGAAAGUUUGCAGCUUAACUGUAAAAAUGCCGUUGAAACUGUCGGACUUGAGUGGAAAUGAAGUAGGCGGAAUGCGUGGUGUAGCGGUGAAAUGCAUAGAUAUCACGCAGAACUCCGAUUGCGAAGGCAGCUUACUAAGCUACAACUGACACUGAAGCACGAAAGCGUGGGGAUCAAACAGGAUUAGAAACCCGUGUAGUCC
rnacentral:rRNA from 1 species